AAACAUAAGGGGUAACACUGUUGUUUUUUUAUUGGUCGUCAUGAAAAAAAACAUAAGGGGUAACACUGUUGUUUUUUAUCAGUUGUCAUAAAAAAAACAUAAGGGGUAACACUGUCGGUUUUUAUUGGUUGUCAUAAAAAAAACAUAAGGGGUAACACUGUUGUUUUUUAUUGGUCGUCAUGAAAAAAAACAUAAGGGGUAACACUGUUGUUUUUUAUCAGUUGUCAUAAAAAAAACAUAAGGGGUAACACUGUCGGUUUUUAUUGGUUGUCAUAAAAAAAACAUAAGUCUGUUGUUUUUUAUCGGCCGUCAUGAAAUAAAUAUAAGGGGUAACACAGUUGUUUUUUAUUGGUCGUCAUGAAAUACAACAUAAGGGGUAACACUGUUGUUUUUUUAUUGGUCAUCAUGAAAUAAAAACAUAAGGGGUAACACUGUUGUUUUUCAUUGGUCAUCAUGAAAUAAAUACAUAAGGGGUAACACUGUCGUUUUUUAUUGGUCGUCAUGAAAAAAAACAUGAGGGGUAACACUGUUGUUUUUUAUUGGUCGUCAUGAAAAAAAACAUAAGGGGUAACACUGUCGUUUUUUAUUGGUCGUCAUUAAUAAAAACAUAAGGGAAAUAAUAGAAAUACACAUAUACAUUUUAAUGUCAUGCAUAUCCUCUUUAUUGAUGAUUGAUUAUUGUCAUAUAUAACCUCAGAUAUAUUUAAAUUAUAAAUCUCAGUGGGAAGUGGAGAGAGCUGUGAGCUAACCCCCUGGAGACCGGGGUUCAAGUCCGGUUGAUGUCCUCUGUUGGAAGACUCAUACCUCUAUUUCAUGCGAAUUAUAAAGUCAAGUAUAACCUUUGCGAUGACUUUAUCCGGUGUCUUGAUGGUGCAUUGAUAAGUUCGGAGGUUAACGCUCUAAACAGUUCAUGUUCGGAUCCCCGCAAAAAUGUCGACGGGGGUGUCACGGUCAGUAUAGAUUGGAAAACUUGAAGGGUAACUCUGUCGGUUUUUAUCGGUUGUCAUAAAAAAAACAUAAGGGGUAACACUGUUGUUUUUUUAUUGGUCGUCAUGAAAAAAAACAUAAUGGGUAACACUGUUGUUUUUUAUCGGCCGUCAUGAAAUAAAUAUAAGGGGUAACACUGUUGUUUUUUUAUUGGUCGUCAUGAAAAAAAAUAAGGGGUAACACUGUCGUUUUUUAUUGGUCGUCAUUAAAAAAAACAUGAGGGGUAACACUGUUGUUUUUUAUUGGUCGUCAUGAAAAAAAAAAAAGGGGUAACACUGCUGUUUUUUAUUGGUCGUCAUGAAAAAAAACAUAAGGGGUAACACUGUUGUUUUUUUAUUGGUCGUCAUGCAAAAAAA
ensembl:lncRNA